CAAGAGUUUCUGAACUCUUCAGUGGCUAUGGACUGUGACCAGGAUUUUGGCCGACAGCUGCUGCUCCUUCUGCUGCACUCUGAGUGUGUUCAUUUUUCCUCAGAAGCAACUGCUUAUUAUCUCGAAGCACGGCCAGAUUCUGAGGACCGUGGGAGCUCCCUGUUGCGACGCGGCUCCCGACACCUCAGAUACUUUGCCAGCUUAGGCAGAAACAGCAAGAGAACCGGAUGCAGAAUGAUGUUCACAUUUUCUUCUGGUGGUUGCUUCCCUUCGGACAUGCUACCAAUCCUCCUCUGUUGGAACAGUGUGUGGCGGGUCUCCUUUAUCUUUUGGAUGCUGAGGUGGUCUAGAGGAUUCUAGCAUCUGGAACAUCUGUAGAGGGUCCAGUGACAUCUGGAGGCUUGGAACAGGAUGGCUCAGCAACCGUGCAGCCUUUUAAUCUGUUAAUAGCUCCUUUGGUGAGAGGGUGGACGUGAGCAGCCCAUCAGCCCUUUCUGCAAGGACCAAGGGGACGGCAGAGUGUGGUGCCAACCGCCACAGUGAGCCCGAGCAAGCAGCCACUCCCCAGUAGCCAGUGUCACUUGCAGUGUAGUGCAUUUGCUGGCCAUUAAAAUCAGUUCGUGGCAUCUCUCUCUGCCCUGCCCAUACCGGGACCCUGUCUGUGAAUCAAGGAGCAAACUAUCCAAGCUGCCCUCGGGCACAAAAUCUCAGUGGUUUCUGAUGUCUUCAUUCAUUCAUCUCUCCAUGUCGUCACUUAUUUUAUCAGAUCUCCUAAGGACUAUGCCCUUCACAUCCCAGCACCCCUAAGGACUGUGCCCUUCACAUGCCAGCACCCAUAAGGACUGUACCCUUCACAUCCCAGCACCCAUAAGGACUGUGCCCUUCACAUCCCAGCACCCCUAAGGACUGUGCCCUUUGCAUAUCAGCACCCCUAAGGACUGUGCCCUCCACAUCCCAGCACCCCUAAGGACUAUUCCCUUUGCAUAUCAGUGCCCAUUCCUUAGUAUCUUUUUUUUUUAAUUAAAAU